UGAACAUUAUAGCUUUCAUUCCAUUGAUUUGUUCUAGAACAUUUCUUUUUGUUCGGUUAUUGGGCCGGCCUGCCUUCUGUUGGUGGGCUAGUAGGCUAGAAAUGUACAGUAUCAUCUACAGGCCCUCUUCCUUUCCUUUCCCUUCGUCCGGCAGUCCGCCUGAGUGCCCUGCCUGACCUCCUCCGAUCUCGGCCGGCGGCGGCAGCGGUAGCGCCGUAGCAGCGAUCCAGGCUGCCUCGAACGGCUUCCGAGCGCCACAGCUCUCUCGGUGGCGGCCCUUCCGCUCCCGCAGCCGCUUCCAGCGAGGCCAGUGCCGGACGGGGCAUGUCAUCGCCAUCGGUCAUCCCCCUCCCCCACAAAGGUGCCUUCUUCGCAUCUCGCAGCUCACAGGCAUACCACCCAUGUAUAACUACUGACACUGACUGCACUGUGAUUUCGUAAGAAGAGCUUCUUAGGCACUUCCUACUAGCACGACUAAUUUCUUCUGCUAGUAAGCUUAACUGCCUCCCUAAUUACACCAUUGUGAACAAAGAAGGAACAGGUAGCUAACCUAGCAAAUUAUACUGGCACAGGUCGUAUGCUCGUAUCGACAUUCUGCUACUGUACAGUAGUGCAUCACUUGUAACUGCAGUCUUGCAGAAUUAUGAUAUUACUACUUGUAAAUAUAGGGCUCCAUUAUUGAACCGUGGGUAUAGUGUUCUGAGUGGGAAGACUUCGUGCCACAAUGAUGGUGUGGGGGCUCAUAUCAUAUCCUUGCCUUGCUCCUAGAAUUCUUCUACUCUCUCCUAAAUUUCAUCGCACGAAAAGGGACCCAAAGUGAACUCAAGUUUUCACUGUUGUAAUGCAACCAAAAGAUUCGUGCGCGCGCUUGCACGUGUAGUAGAAAUAUUCCAUAGACAUACAAUAAGUAAAGGAAUUGCAUACCUCCAAUUAUCCAAGCACCAUGUAUUGUGCACAAGUAGAACACUAUCGUUAACAAGGGCAAGGGCAAGGGCAAGAUGAGAGAAAGCAUUUCCAUAAACCAAUUUGAUUUCCCAAACUAAAAACACACACAUGGAUGAAUUUGGCAAAGAUCUACGUAAAUGGGAGGUUAUAUGCUACUGCUAAUGCUGGUUUUUUGGUCCAAGGAUUAGGAGAUCACAGCAGACUUCAUGGUUUACCCACGCUUUAAGAUUUUCUUCAUCAAUUUUUUUUCUAGAUUUAGCUCAUAUGCCAUUUGUCUUGAGAAGAGCAGGUUGCCACCUGGAGACCAUUGCAUCUGCACGCAUCAUAUAUCACUGAAAUGUCAUUAGUUUUCUUUGAACGAAGGUCUAUCAUGGUGUGCAUGUUUGCUGGGGUUGCCAUAUGCCUUCUUUUUUCCAGUGAAAAAUAGGUGGUGUGUCUAUCAUGUUUCAGGUGGACUAUUAAACUCCAUAAUCCUUAUUAGUUUCAGUUCAUAAAAUCAGUGUCCAGCAUAUCUUUGUUGUUUGGUUGAAUCGGUGGCUUUCCAUAUUGAAUGCGUGAUCCAUCUUUGAGAGGAACAACAUUAGGGUAAUUUGCAAAAGAACAAUAGGAAUUGAAAACACACUCCAAUCUCAAAUCAUAAUGAUUGCACUUUAUGGGAAACCUUGUUAUGUGCAUCCGCUAAUUCAUAUAAACCCAGCACAACCCAUUUAUUUACUGCCUUCUCACAUUGGGAGAAAAGAACUCGUUUUCUUGAACAAUGCAACAAACAAUGUCAAAAUGAUGCCACACCAGUUACGGUUAGGCUAGCUUUUGUCUGGUGAUGAGGACGGCAAGCCAUGAUCCCUGUACCUGGAAAAUUGGUGAUGGCUCUGACUGGAGACUGGAGCUGGUGGCGGCUCACCGCGCCAUCGCCCACCCAUGGACUCUGCUGCUGUAAAUUUAGUAUUAUGUAAGGUGCUAUAAGAGUAGCAACAUUCCCCAGAAUGAAACAAUAUGCAACUUUUGCAUAAAAAACAGAGACACUUUCAAAUCUGAAAACCAUGAUAUUUAAACUGAAUCGCGGUACCACUUGCUUUAGUUAGAGCUAGUGGAUGUUCUCCAAUUAUUAUAGGUAGUCUUUCUGUGAGAGAAUUGUGGUGAUUACGAGCUAAUCAGCCAGUAAGCUUGGUGUGCAUCUGUUACCCAAUACAAACCAUGCGACUCUGCUGCCUCAGAAUACAACACCACGGGAGAAUAUGAAAACUCCAAUCCAAGUUUGGGGCUCAAUGACAUGGAGAUGCCACACCGGGGCCUAGCCUUUAUCUGGAAAUAUGGAAGCUGAAUGAGGGCUCCCGCUUGAGGUUGGCGCCGGAGGCGACAGGCCAUCUACUCGCCCGCCCAUGUACUUUGGUACUAUAAGUUUAGUAGAACAUAAGCUAAUGUUCAGCAUUUCCCGAGAAGAAAAAGUGCUACAUGCUCCUUUUUUUUAAAAAAAAUGCUGCUUUCAUCAUUGUCUGCAUUAGUCUAAUUUCAGAAUGGGGACUUUUUCUUUUGAAAUGGAUGAGAGCAACUGGAAUGUGUAUAUGCUUGAUGCUUCGGAAUGAAACUAUGAAUACUGGCAAGGAACCAAGGACAAUAGCGAUGCUGAAGCAAUGCAUGGCCAAAGAAAAUAGACGAGGCGAGAGAAAAAAAAACGACAGUGCUGUUACCUCCUGUGAGGAAGCCGAUGAGUAUCGCUGCAAGGACGACCAUGGAGAUCAGGACCGCGAUCAGCUUAUGCCUGAGGAAUGGGCACCAGCUCCUCUGCUGCUUCAUCUCCUCUCUGUGCUCUGUGGAGUGAUAUAUCCUUCUUUCCUUUAGCCUUUCAAGAGAGCAAGCUCACGGACUACUAUUAGGCAAGAGAGCUGCGCAUUAUAUUGAUAAAGAAGCGCUCAUCUUGAUCUGAGCCGUUGUGUAACUAAGCACAGGGUAGUGGUUUAGUUUUGGAAGUCUGACUAGCUUGGCUUAGCUUCUGGGAUCUUGUGAGCAUCUUGGUUUACAUAGGCACUGCACGUGUGAUACAUUCAUGACAGUAUCCAACCGAAUCACGAUGCAAGAAUUGUGUGUUGCUCUUCUGUAAUAUUUCCCGGUUUCACUGAGCACACUUACACACUAUCGAAUCUCUGGCUCCAAUUAACUAUAAUAAGGAAAGUCAACAUGGUUAAACCUGACAGGACUGUUUGACAAUGUUUACAGAGGAUGCAGACGUGUUAAAGUGUGGUUUAUUCCUGAAGAUUAACCGUGGACCACGAACCCAUGAUGAUUCAUGCUGUCGAGCUGGUUUUGUUUUACUAUGGUGUGUGUGUUCUCAAGACCGAGAAGAUUCUAGUUUUUUUUUUCUCUAUGACACUUGUCGAGAGCAUGGGUGUGUUGACAUAUGAGAUGCGAUAUUUGGUUUCUGAAAAUUGAGAAAGGGUGCCAAGCAGUCAAGCAGAACUGUUGUUUGCUAUUAUUGGCAUGGUGAAUUGUCUCGGCUUGGGUUUUUGUGGUAAACCCGCUUUGGUAUUCUUCUGGUGACCUUUUGCGGCAAGCCGGCAACCAUGUCCAUAUGAACGUGGGAUUCCAAAUCUGAGGCCCCAAACAAAGCGGUGUUGUUCAAAUUUCUUCAGAAUCAGGAUAUUCCUUGGAUCCGUUUAUCUGGCAAGCUUUUUCCCACAAAUGGUAAGGCUGCCCACACCAGAAGUUUGGUGGCCCUUGCCGGUGGAGGUACAUCAUGGAUUUGGUUUCGGAAUUCAGAUGCCUGGCUUCAUCUUCUUCAAUUGGUGGUGGCAAAGCACUGCUGGGCUACAUUAAUACUGCCAAACCUUUCAAACGGUUGUCGAAGAGUAAUUAAUUAUCAUGGCAAACACAAGUUCUUUUAGAUAUUACUGGUUACUGCUUGACAUGUCGAACACAAGAAACUUAUUAGAGCACCCGCAAUGAUUAUAGAGAGCAACUCUCUACAGCAUGUUCCAUAUCAUCUAUAUGCAAUAUUAUAGUAAACCAUCUCAAUGGAGUAUGUAUAAAAAUGUCUAUAGCUGUUUUUAA